UACGUAGGGUGCAAACGUUGUUCGGAAUCACUGGGCAUAAAGAGCGCGUAGGCGGUCUGACAAGUCCCCUGUGAAAGCCCCCGGCUUAACCGGGGAACUGCAUGGGAUACUGUUGGGCUAGAGUGCAGGAGGGGAGAGCGGAAUUCCUGGUGGAGCGGUGAAAUGCGUAGAUAUCAGGAGGAACGCCGGCGGCGAAAGCGACUCUCUGGCCUGUAACUGAUGCUGAGGCGCGAAAGCUAGGGGAGCAAACGGG
rnacentral:rRNA from 1 species